UGGUAGUGAUGUGGACAAGCAUUUAACAAUUGUUUGAAUUGACCCCAUGCUUCGUACAUAUUCUCCCCAUUUUUCUAUGUGAAGCUCAGUAUUUCUUUCCUCAACCG